rnacentral:sRNA from 1 species
UCCUAGCCCUGAUGGAAGCGGCAUCCUUUUUGUUUUUUCUUUAAAAACAAAAAGAUACAGCGGACAGCAGGAAAUAGC